CCGGGAAACCGGGGCUAAUACCGAAUGAUAGAGUGUGGCGCAUGCCACGCUCUUGAAAGAUGGUUUCGGCUAUCGCUUACAGAUGGGCCCGCGGUGCAUUAGCUAGUUGGUAGGGUAAUGGCCUACCAAGGCAACGAUGCAUAGCCGACCUGAGAGGGUGAUCGGCCACACUGGGACUGAGACACGGCCCAGACUCCUACGGGAGGCAGCAGUAGGGAAUCUUCCGCAAUGGACGAAAGUCUGACGGAGCAACGCCGCGUGUAUGAAGAAGGUUUUCGGAUCGUAAAGUACUGUUGUUAGAGAAGAACAAGGAUAAGAGUAACUGCUUGUCCCUUGACGGUAUCUAACCGCUAAGCCACGGCUAACUACGUGCCAACAGCCGCGGUAAUACGUAGGUGGCAAGCGUUGUCCGGAUUUAUUGGGCGUAAAGCGCGUGCAGGCGGUCUUUUAAGUCUGAUGUGAAAGCCCCCGGCUUAACCGGGGAGGGUCAUUGGAAACUGGAAGACUGGAGUGGAGAGGGGAAUUCCAGAAUUCCACGUGUAGCGGUGAAAUGCGUAGAUAUGUGGAGGAACACCAGUGGCGAAUGCGACUCUCUGGUCUGUAACUGACGCUGAGGCGCGAAAGCGUGGGGAGCAAACAGGAUUAGAUACCCUGGUAGUCCACGCCGUAAUCGUAGAGUUUAGGGGGUUUCCGCCCUUCCGCCCUUUAGUGCAGGCGCUAAGCCAUUAGCCUGGGGAGUACGACCGCAAGGUUGAAAGUCAAAAACUCAGUGAAUUGCCCGCACACGCGGUGGAGCAUGUGGUUUAAUUUGAAGCACCACGCAGCGCCAUAACCUUACCUGACAUCCUUUGCCCACUACCAAGACAGAGCUUUCCCUUCGGGGACAAAGUGACAGGUGGUGCAUGGUUGUCGUCAGCUCGUGUCGUGAGAUGUUGGGUUAAGUCCCGCAACGAGCGCAACCCUUGAUUUUAGUUGCCAGCAUUUAGUUGGGCACUGUAAAGUGACUUCCGGUGCAAGCCGGAGGAAGGUGGGGAUGACGUCAAAUCAUCAUGCCCCUUAUGCCUUGGGCUACACACGUGCUACAAUGGAUGGUACAAAGGGUCGCGAAGCCGCGAGGUGGAGCCAAUCCCAUAAAACCAUUCUCAGUUCGGAUUGUAGGCUGCAACUUGCCUACAUGAAGCCGGAAUCGCUAGUAAUCGUGGAUCAGCAUGCCACGGUGAAUACG
rnacentral:rRNA from 1 species